rnacentral:rRNA from 1 species
UACGUAGGGGGCAAGCGUUGUCCGGAUUUAUUGGGCGUAAAGAGCGUGUAGGCGGUUUGGUAGGUCCGCUGUGAAAACUCGAGGCUCAACCUCGAGACGCCGGUGGAAACCAUCAGGCUAGAGCCCGGAAGAGGAGAGUGGAAUUCCUGGUGUAGCGGUGAAAUGCGCAGAUAUCAGGAAGAACACCCGUGGCUAAGGCGGCUCUCUAGUACGGUACUGACGCUGAGACGCGAAAGCGUGGGGAGCGAACAGG